UGGGGAAUAUUGGACAAUGGGCGCAAGCCUGAUCCAGCAAUGCCGCGUGUGUGAAGAAGGCCUGCGGGUUGUAAAGCACUUUCAGUAGGGAGGAAGGACUCAGUAUUAAUACUGCUGAGUAUUGACGUUACCUACAGAAGAAGCACCGGCUAACUCUGUGCCAGCAGCCGCGGUAAUACAGAGGGUGCGAGCGUUAAUCGGAAUUACUGGGCGUAAAGGGUGCGUAGGUGGUUUAAUAAGUCAGAUGUGAAAUCCCCGGGCUCAACCUGGGAACUGCAUUUGAAACUAUUAGGCUAGAGUGUGGUAGAGGGAAGUGGAAUUUCCGGUGUAGCGGUGAAAUGCGUAGAUAUCGGAAGGAACAUCAGUGGCGAAGGCGACUUCCUGGACCAUAACUGACACUGAGGCACGAAAGCGUGGGGAGCAAACAG
rnacentral:rRNA from 1 species